GACGGAGGAUGCAAGUGUUAUCCGGAAUCACUGGGCGUAAAGCGUCUGUAGGUGGUUCGAAAAGUCCACUGUUAAAAAUUGAGGCUUAACCUCAAAGAUGCCGUGGAAACUUUCAAACUAGAGUAUGGUAGGGGUAGAGGGAAUUUCCAGUGGAGCGGUGAAAUGCGUAGAUAUUGGAAAGACCACCGAUGGCGAAGGCACUCUACUGGGCCAUUACUGACACUGAGAGACGAAAGCUAGGGGAGCAAAUGGG
rnacentral:rRNA from 2 species